rnacentral:rRNA from 1 species
UACGGGGGGAGCAAGCGUUGUUCGGAUUUACUGGGCGUAAAGGGCGCGUAGGCGGCGCAACAAGUCACUUGUGAAAUCUCCGGGCUUAACCCGGAGCGGUCAAGUGAUACUGUCGUGCUAGAGUGCGGAAGGGGCUACUGGAAUUCUCGGUGUAGCGGUGAAAUGCGUAGAUAUCGAGAGGAACACCUGCGGCGAAGGCGGGUAGCUGGGCCGACACUGACGCUGGAGGCGCGAAAGCUAGGGGAGCAAACGGG